GGGUUUUAUUCCCUUCUUUUCUGCCCAGAUCUCCACUAAACAAAGGAGCUCUGGGCACAUCACCAGUUCCAGGACCUAAAGCCUCAGAAGGGGACCAUCAGGACGGCAGCUUGGCAUUCAGGGUUUGCUGCCACAGUCCAUCCUCCACCAGGGCAGCAAGGCCCCUCCAGCUGGAAGAGGCUUUCAGGGCAGCAGAGGGAAUCAAGGAAUCCUUGCCAUCAUGGGGUUAUUAUGGCUGGCCAAGUUCAUGCUAGGAUGUACAACACUUUUGUACAUGGAACAAGCCCAGGGCCAAUAUGAAGGGGACUUUCAGACAGACAGAUUUGCAGGCUAUGAGGAAAGACAGCCAGCAAAUAGAGUGAGAAGAAGAGGCCAAGACACUUUACGAGGAAACAACUAGCACAUUCUCCGGGGCAAGCACCGGCUGAAGAGGCAAACGGCCUGAGUAAGAGCGAUGCGGCCUGGCGGAGAGCACCGAGACACAUUGUCCCUCACUCCCAGCUUGCCUGCUCCUGCUUGUGACUGAC